rnacentral:rRNA from 1 species
UACAGAGGGUGCAAGCGUUAAUCGGAAUUACUGGGCGUAAAGGGUGCGUAGGUGGUUAAAUAAGUUAAGUGUGAAAGUCCUGGGCUCAACCUGGGGAUUGCAUUUGAUACUGUUUAGCUAGAGUACUGUAGAGGAAGGUGGAAUUUCCAGUGUGGCGGUGAAAUGCGUAGAUAUUGGAAGGAACAUCAGUGGCGAAGGCGACUUUCUGGACAGAUACUGACACUGAGGCACGAAAGCAUGGGGAGCAAACAGG